AGACCGAUCUUAUUUUUUUGUUCUCCUUCUCUGAUAAGUGCUUAAAUCCGCCUAUUGAGAAAUCAUUACAGUGGGAGGAAAAAGCAGAAAUGUGGCUUUUCAUAUUCUAUCAGCUGAGGGUUCUAUAUGGAAUUGUUUAUUUUGGAUGAAGUAUGGUAGAUGAACAUUAUGUUACUUCCUUCUCCCUGGGAUUCUUUUAUAGAAGGCAUAUCAAGCAUUUCAGUCACAUUUAGAAGGAAGAAAUUAAACAAAGGCUCUACAGGGUACCUUUCAGUGGGGUCUGUUAAGGCCAAUGCUACGUGGUCAUCCUGAGCUGGGUAAUUCACAAGUGCUUUCUGCUGAGUUACGUUGGGGCAACUGAGAACCUCAGAGAGAGUCAUGAGAAUAAUUCAAAAAGAAGAAAAAUAGCCACUGAUUGCUAAGUGGAGCCAACAGCUGGAACUCCCCUUCAGAUUUUCAGCAGAAGCUGUGGGCAAUGUGAGAUCUGUGCUAUGACCCAUGAAGCAGAGCUACAAGAGAGAACAUCUCUGCAAACAGAAGCCGUAGCGUGGAUCCUCAGAAGGACAAUCCGAUAUCCACCAGGUCAAUUAUUGAUAAGUGACUCUUGUCAUCAAGUCAUGAUGGAGGCUGUGGGCUAUUUGUACAGAUCGCUUGAUUUAAUAAGGGCCACCUACCUGGGAUCUUCUCAUUCAUCGAUCCUUGGAAUCCUGCAGAAUCCAAGUGGAAGAAUGGGCUCAGCUGUGUGACUUUAAGAAUGCUAUGUCGGGCUUCCCCGGUGGCACAGUGGUUAAGAAUCUGCCUGUCAAUGCAGGGGACACGGGUUUAAGCCCUGGUCUGGGAAGAUCCCACAUGCCGUGGAGCAGCUAAGCCCGUGAGCCACAACUACUGAGCCCACGUGCCACAACUACUGAAGCCUGCGCGCCUAGAGCCCGGGAUCCGCAACGAGAGAAGCCACCGCAAUAAGAAGCCUGCGCACCACAACGAAGAGUAGCCCCUGCUCGCUGCAACUAGAG